GACGAACGCUGGCGGCGUGCUUAACACAUGCAAGUCGAACGGAGUUCCUUGGAUAGAGGCUUCGGCCAAUUGAAUUGGAACUUAGUGGCGGACUGGUGAGUAACGCGUGAGGAACCUGCCUUUCAGAGGGGGACAACAGUUGGAAACGACUGCUAAUACCGCAUGACACAUUCGGGCGGCAUCGCUUGAAUGUCAAAGAUUUUAUCGCUGAAAGAUGGCCUCGCGCUUGAUUAGCUAGUUGGUAGGGUAACGGCCUACCAAGGCGACGAUCAGUAGCCGGACUGAGAGGUUGACCUGCGACAUUGGGACUGAGAUACGGCGCAGACUCCUACGGGAGGCAGCAGUGGGGAAUAUUGGGCAAUGGACGCAAGUCUGACCCAGCAACGCCGCGUGAAGAAAGAAGGCUUUCUGGUUGUAAACUUCUUUUAAGUGGGAAGAGUAGAAGACGGUACCACUUGAAUAAGCCACGGCUAACUACGUGCCAGCCGCCGCGGUAAGAC
rnacentral:rRNA from 1 species